rnacentral:rRNA from 1 species
GACGAACGCUGGCGGCGUGCCUAAUACAUGCAAGUCGAACGCUGAAGGAGGAGCUUGCUUCUCUGGACGAGUUGCGCACGGGUGAGUAACGCGUAGGUAACCUGCCUGGUAGCGGGGGAUAACUCUUGGAAACGCUAGCUAAUAUCGCAUAAGAGUAGAUGUUGCAUGACAUUUGCUUAAAAGGUGCAAUUGUAUCACUACCAGAUGGACCUGCGUUGUAUUAGCUAGUUGGUGGGGUAACGGCUCAACAAGGCGACGAUACAUAGCCGCCCUGGUGAGGUGAUCCGCCACACUGGGACUGGGACACGGCCCAGACUCCUACGGGAGGGAGCAGUAGGGAAUCUUCGGCAAUGGACGGAAGUCUGACCGAACAACGCCGCGGGGGGGAAGAAGGGUUUCGGAACGGAAAGCUCUGUUGUCAGGGAAGAACGAGUGUGAGAGUGGAAAGUUCACACUGUGACGGUAUCUUACCAGAAAGGGACGGCUAACUACGUG